CUACUAAGCAAUGGCCGGACACACGCAGUGUCAGAAGGAAUUAAUAAGAUGAGAGGGCAAUUAUAAAUAUACAUCAAAUAAAUUUUUAUUUGACAAUCAUAAAUAUACAUGAUGGCAUCAGCAUUCUCCCCUUGGUUGCUGAGAAGCCAGUCUUGAAUCCUUUCAAUCGAAUCAGUUUAUAUGACAUGAUAAACAGUCACAUUGAGAGAGAGGGAGAGUCAGAGCUCGAGAUCUCCCCAAAUAGUUGCA
rnacentral:lncRNA from 1 species